UAUGAGAAUGAAUACACAUUCCCCCAAAAGACUCAUGGUUGUCCUUGACAAUCAUCUCAAAAGAUUAAGAGCACAUAGCAAGUCCCAAGACUCACUUGUCUGCAAUAACUCAGCUCAGUAAACCUUUAUCAAUCAUUUACCAUGUACAAGUGACUGGGCUUGUCAUCUCAGCGGGCAUAAAGAUGAAUAAGACAUGGUACCUGCACCAGAAGAACUUAUUCAUUUCUCAUCCAUUAAGGAAGGGCACAUUCACUCUUGGGCUGGAAGGAACUUUAUGGGCUUGGGUUUGCAAAGUCAAUCAGAAAGGGCUAUGAGUUUCCCCCCAGCACACCCUCUUACCCAGAAGAAAUUUGCACACAGGAACCAUGUGAAGGGAUAUAAGAGGAACACUGUACAAAGACCAGAGCUGAACUGUCACAAGCCGGGGAUGUCUGGGGCUACCAGAAGCUGGAAGAGGCCAGAAAGAAACCUUCUGCAACAGUCAUUAGAGAGAGCCUGGCCCUGGUGACACCUUGAUUUCAGACUUCUAGCCUCCUGGGCUUUGAGACAGUAAAUUUCUGUUGUUGCCCACCACCAGUUUGGGGUUACCAUUUUGUUACGGCAGCUGGAGGAAACUGAUAUGCUCUGUGAAUUGCUUGUCCAUCUUAUUUGCCCACUUUUCAGUGGGGCUCUCGCUUUUUCCUAUAACGUGCAGCUGUUCCUUGUCUGCCCUGGGUCACCUUCGGUUCUUGCCUUUCUCCCUCGGUCACGCCCACCUGCUCCCCUGGGGCCGCUCUGAGGGCAGAGUUUCACGUAGAAGGAAAGGGCAACCCAACCAGAUGCAGGCGAGAGGGAAAGAGAGAACAGGGGUAUCUUCAGGCAGAGGAGGCUUUGCGCGGCCCCCAAACAGAAACGGGAAGGCCGUCUUGGGCUGGAGGACGCUCAGCCUGGAGACAUGGAGGAUCCUCUGCGGUUCUGCACCUACCUUGAACCCUUUAUCCCCAAAGCCUCUGAUGCCCACCUAUGGCUGAGAUCAGUAGGUAAGUCUCAGCUAGAUCCCCAAGCGAUUUUCAGGCCACCCGGUGCCCAUCUUCAAGGAAACCAGCUGUUUGCCUCACACCCACAUAUGUGGGGUCUAGUGGUUACCAAAACCCCGUGGAGAAACCAGGCACCGGGCCACGUUAGGCCUUCUGAAACUGUCCUCUGAUUUGGUUCCCCUGAGCCCUUCAGAAUAUCCAAGGAGGAAGGCCAUGAAAUAUUUAAAAGGUCUUUGCUUCAGAAGGGCACUUUUGUUGCCAAAGCUGGAAAUGUGGAGAGGAGAGGCUACGGCCGGCUGGAAGAAGGCAUCUCCGGCACAUGUGGGUAUGAUUCUGUCCAGGAUGCAGUGUCUAAAAUGAGCCAGUUUCAGCCAUCAUUCAUUUUCACUUCCCUGAACUGUGCCAUCUCUUACUGUCUCACGGUACCUUCCCCGAGAGGCCUCUUACAGGCCCCCACCAGUCCCCAGGCUGCAGCACUGGAAUUCUAGCAACGUGUCUGAGAACCCUCGCUCGGAAACCUCUGCCCCCCUGGGUGUGGUGUGGGGAGAUGACCAGACCCUGAAUCCUGUGCCAAGAAGCUCGACAGUUACUGACACCAAAAAAAGCAAAAAGACGCCGUCUAUAUACCCUUAGUACAUUCAGCUUAACUGAGAAUCUUUUUCAAAAAUUCUCUUUCUUGAAAAAGAUCAAAUGACAUGACUGAGAAGACUCACAAAGCUAUUGCUAGCCUGGAGAACUCAGUCUAGCAUCAAUGUUUUGGUAAACAAACCUCCUUUUAAAGAAUGUCAUUUAACUGUUUAACAAACACGUAUUGCCUGUGAAUUCAAGGCCUUCAGUAGCUGUAUUUUUUUUUAAUAAAAUAGUACUUCUGAACCAAACUGAAUCAUUCCUACAUAUACGUAUGGAACUUAAGGUUCUGUAUUAAGUUUUAUCGCCUUGGGGUGGGGGUGGGGACCUUCACAAACAAGACGUGAGAUUCAGAAGCUGUCAAGGAAAAUGGGCAGAUGUGAAUAUAUAAUAUACUUUUUAAAAGGCUCCUGCCUAGCAACAACAAAAAUGAGGCCAAAAAAAUCAAAUUAAAAAUAAAAGAUAGAUGGGGAAAAGAUGUUGUAUCAUGUACAAGACAUUAGGUCAGUGGCCAUACUCUUCAAAGAACUUAUACAAACUUAAGAAAAGGACCCAAGCCUCCCCUCCACAAAGCCCACAUUCGUAUAUUCCCAGAGAAAAUACAAAUGGAAGAAGAAUAUAUGAUUUUUUCAAAAAAGAAUAUGUGAUAAGAUAUCCAAUCUACUAAAGAAAUAAAAAUCUUAAAUAUGACCUCUCUCCUCAUACUGAUAAACAAAAGCUUAA